rnacentral:rRNA from 1 species
AACGAACGCUGGCUGCAUGCCUAACACAUGCAAGUCGAACGAGACCUUCGGGUCUAGUGGCGCACGGGUGCGUAACGCGUGGGAACCUGCCCUUAGGUUCGGAAUAACUCCCCGAAAGGGGUGCUAAUACCGGAUAAUGUCUUCGGACCAAAGAUUUAUCGCCUUUGGAUGGGCCCGCGUUGGAUUAGCUAGUUGGUAGGGUAAAAGCCUACCAAGGCGACGAUCCAUAGCUGGUCUGAGAGGAUGAUCAGCCACACUGGGACUGAGACACGGCCCAGACUCCUACGGGAGGCAGCAGUGGGGAAUAUUGGACAAUGGGCGAAAGCCUGAUCCAGCAAUGCCGCGUGAGUGAUGAAGGCCUUAGGGUUGUAAAGCUCUUUUACCCGGGAUGAUAAUGACGGUACCGGGAGAAUAAGCUCCGGCUAACUCCGUG